GCGUGUUUGGCCGAGUGGUUAAGGCGCUGGAUUCAAGUGGUAUAAUACACUUUGUCUCGAUGAACGAGGUUGAAAUUCCCAGUCACGGAAGUGGCGCAGGUUCGAAUCCUGCAGCACGCA
rnacentral:tRNA from 1 species